rnacentral:rRNA from 1 species
UCUCGCCUGCCAGUGAACUUUUUCAACGGCCGCGGUAUUCUAACCGUGCAAAGGUAGCGUAAUCACUUGUCUUCUAAAUAAAGACCUGUAUGAACGGCUAAAUGAGGACAAACCUGUCUCUUAUAACUAACCAGUGAAACUGAUCUCCCAGUACAAAAGCUGGAAUAACUACAUAAGACGAGAAGACCCUGUGGAGCUUAAAACAAACCACCAACCACAUAUGGUGAAAUGUUUUUAGUUGGGGCGACUUCGGAAUAAAAUACAACUUCCGAGCACAGAACCACCAAUUCAAACUAAGGCCAACAGGCCAAAGUAUUAACUUGACCCGGCCCAUGCCGACCAACGAACCAAGUUACCCCAGGGAUAACAGCGCUAUCUUCUUCAAGAGUCCCUAUCAACAAGAAGGUUUACGACCUCGAUGUUGGAUCAGGACACCCAAAUGGUGCAGCCGCUAUUAAAGGUUCGUUUGUUCAACGAUUAACAGUCCUACGUGAUCU